GAUGAAGAACGCAGCGAAAUGCGAUACUUGGUGUGAAUUGCAGAAUCCCGUGAACCAUCGAGUCUUUGAACGCAAGUUGCGCCUCAAGCCAUUAGGUUGAGGGCACGUCUGCCUGGGCGUCACAUAUCGUUGCCUGAUGCCAGUUUCCUCGUGAUGGGUGACUGUGCAGGGCGAAUGAUGGCUUCCCGUGAGCAUUGUUGCCUCAUGGUUGGUUGAAAAUUGAGUCCUUGGUAGGGAGCGCCGUGAUAGAUGGUGGUUGAGUGACGAACGAGACCCAAUCAUGUGAGACCCCUACCGAAUUUGGCCUUCAUGACCACAUGCGUCUUUGGAACGCUCAUGACGAGACCUCAGGUCAGGCGGGGCUACCCGCUGAGUUUAAGCAUAUCAAUAAGCGGAGGA
rnacentral:misc_RNA from 1 species